rnacentral:rRNA from 1 species
CAUGAAUAAGGGGCUCCCAACUCUGUGCCAGCAGGAGCGGUAAUACAGAGGCCCCAAGCAUUAUCCGGAUUUACUGGGCGUAAAGGGUGCGUAGGCGGUGUGAUUAGUCAGAUGUUAAAUCCUGGGGCUUAACCCCAGAACUGCAUUUGAAACGGUCAUACUAGAAGGUGUUAGAGGCAAGCAGAACUCUCGGUGUAGGGGUGAAAUCCGUUGAUAUCGAGGGGAAUACCAAAUGCGAAGGCAGCUUGCUGGGACAUUCUUGACGCUGAGGCACGAAAGCAUGGGUAGCGAAGCGGAUUAGAUACCCGCGUAGUCCAUGCCCUAAACGCUGUCUGUUGGUUUUGGGGAGUAUCGACCCUCUCCGAGACGAAGUUAACACGUUAAACAGACCGCCUGGGUAGUACGAUCGCAAGAUUAAAACUCAAAGGAAUAGACGGGGGCUCGCACAAGCGGUGGAUCAUGUGGCUUAAUUCGUAGCUAAGCGAAAAACCUUACCAAGGCUAGAAACUAUACUGCACGCUCCGGGAAACCGGAGAAGCCUUCGAGGGUGUAUAGCAGGUGAUGCAUGGCCGUCGUCAGUUCGUGGCUUGAGCUGUUCCCUUAAGUGGGGAAACGAACGCAACCCUCGUUGCCUGUUACAAGUGUCAGGCGAGACUGCUCCCUCACGGGAGAGGAAGGUGAGGAUGACGCCAGGUCAGCAUGUCCCUUGAUGCCUCGGGCUGCACACGUGAUACAAUGGGUGGUACAACGGGACGCAAUACGGUAACGUGGAGCAAAUCCUUAUAAAACCAUCCCCAGUUCGGAUUGAGGUCUGCAACUCGACCUCAUGAAGUUGGAAUCGCUAGUAAUCGUGAAUCAGCAUCGUCACGGUGAAUACGUUCCCGAGCCUUGUACUCACAAUAAAAGCGCGCAGCAGCGCGUAUAUCUAGAUG